rnacentral:rRNA from 1 species
GAUGAACGCUGGCGGCGUGCUUAACACAUGCAAGUCGAGCGAACAGAUAAGGAGCUUGCUGCUUUGACGUUAGCGGCGGAGGGGUGAGUAACAUGUGGAUAACCUACCUAUAAGUCGGGGAUAACUUCGGGAAACCGGCGCUAAUACCGUAUAACAUGUGGAACCGCAUGGUUCUAAAGUGAAAGAUGGCUUUGCUAUCACUUAUAGAUGGACUCGCGCCGUAUUAGCUAGGUGGUAAGGUAACGGCUUACCAAGGCAACGAUGGGUAGACCACGUGAGAGGGGGAUAGGCGGCCUGGGAGCGGAGACGCCGUCCCUGGUACUACGGGAGGGCGCAGUAGGCUAUCUUACGCAGUAGGCGGGAGCCUGGCGGAACGGCGCUACGUCAGUGAUAGCGGGUUUCGGCUCGUAAUGCUCUGUUAUGAGGUGAAAACCACCGUGUGCGUAGAUGAAGCCACCUUGACGGUAACUAGCAAAAAAGCCACGGUUAACUACGUG